CAAUAGCGUAUAUUAAAGUUGUUGCGGUUAAAAAGCUCGUAGUUGGAUUUCUGCUGAGAACGACCGGUCCGCCCUCUGGGUGUGUAUCUGGCUCUUUCUUGGCAUCUUCUUGGUGAACGUUGCUGCACUUGACUGUGUGGAGCGCUACCCAGGACUUUUACUUUGAGGAAAUUAGAGUGUUUCAAGCAGGCAUACGCCUUGAAUACAUUAGCAUGGAAUAAUAAGAUAGGACCUCGGUUCUAUUUUGUUGGUUUCUAGAGCUGAGGUAAUGAUUAAUAGGGACAGUUGGGGGUAUUCGUAUUUCAUUGUCAGAGGUGAAAUUCUUGGAUUUUUGAAAGACGAACUACUGCGAAAGCAUUUACCAAGGAUGUUUUCAUUAA
rnacentral:rRNA from 1 species